UGGUGAUUGGAUGAAUGUAUUGGUGAGGUUAUUUUUCAUUGUGUGUUGCUUGGUGAGCCUUUUCAGUCAGGCAGUUCUGGGCAGUAAAAACUGUUGUUCCCACAUGCUAGGGCAACAUGGUGGAACAGUGAUUACUACUUCAACCAGAAGAUUCAGGUUUUAUUCUACUGGUUAGAGGAGCAUGCAGCGGUACUAACAAAGAUUUUUACUUUUAUUUUAUUUUUUCAGUGGCUGAAUCUACUUCAAAAGUCUCGGGUUUGCUGCAGUUCUUGUGAAUGUGAUGGCAAUGACAGGAUCUGAGCAAUCACAAAUAAUGAGAGAGAGAACGCUGCAGGGGUGCGGGCGUGUGGCAGCACUGCAGCCCUGCCUAAUGGAGGAUGGCUGCAACACAUUUUAUAUCCCCCCAACAAGUCACAGCCGUUGGCUGCCGUUUCCUGAGCCUCGUUAUGCCAGAAGUCUCUUCCUGUUCCCACCAUUGCCUAGUGCUAUUCUUAGGGAAAUGUCUAAUUGCUGGAUUUCUCUCUUUAAGGCUGAAGGGGUUUAAUUUGCAAUAUAAAGUGCCUCGAGAGCACUUGUGGUGAACUCAUACACUAUAAAUGAAACAGGGAAAUUUGAUAGACAGGUGAUAGGUAUAUUAUUUUGUUCUGUUUUAUUUUGUUCUUUAUGUUUAUCUUUUGAUGUUCUUGUGUGCUAAGGUCAGAGGUGGGAGGUAAUGAAGUAAAAAUACUUUGUUACUGUACUUAAGUAGAAUCGUCGGGUAUCGGCGUCUCUGUUGUUUCCUGUUUUACUUUGACAGUCUGUGUCUUAUGUCAUUGUAUUCUGUUUUGGUUCCUCCCUGUCUCGUCAUGUCUAAUUAGGUUCUGCUGUGUCUCCCUCCUGUUGUGCAUUUCCCUCGUUGCCUUGUGUAUGUAUAUGUAGCGUGUGUUUCCCCCUGUCCCGCGUUGGAUCAUCUGUGUUUUCCCCCUGCGUUACUUCGGGUCGUCAUCCCCCUGUGUAUCUCCCCCUGCAUUUCCAGGUUUUUUGCAGUUCUGCUUCCAGUUUAGGGUUUUCUUUGUAUUCUUCAGUUCCCCGUUUCCCUUGUGUUUUGUAGUGUUUUUGCAAUCAACAAUAAAGGCUCACCUUUUGUUAAACAUUCACCUCUGCUGUCCGCACUCCCUCCUCAUGCGCUCCCUCUGUCACCGUGACAGUUUAGUAUUUUUCUUGUAGGUUUCUUUUCUCUGAAACAAACCUCUCUAGGGAGCAC